CAGGUCAGGCGGGGCUACCCGCUGAGUUUAAGCAUAUCAAUAAGCGGAGGAAAAGAAACUAACAAGGAUUCCCC
rnacentral:rRNA from 1 species